UACAGAGGGUGCAAGCGUUAAUCGGAAUUACUGGGCGUAAAGCGUGCGCAGGCGGUUAUGUAAGACAGAUGUGAAAUCCCCGGGCUACAACCUGGGAACUGCAUUUGUGACUGCAUCGCUGGAGUGCGGCAGAGGGGGAUGGAAUUCCGCGUGUAGCAGUGAAAUGCGUAGAUAUGCGGAGGAACACCGAUGGCGAAGGCAAUCCCCUGGGCCUGCACUGACGCUCAUGCACGAAAGCGUGGGGAGCAAACAGGA
rnacentral:rRNA from 1 species